GCGCCUGUAGCUCAAUUGGAUAGAGCAACGGCCUUCUAAGCCGUAGGCUGUGUGUUCGAAUCACACCAGGCGCA
rnacentral:tRNA from 1 species